GAUGAACGCUGGCGGCGUGCCUAAUACAUGCAAGUCGAGCGAACAGGCGAGGAGCUUGCUCCUCUGACGUUAGCGGCGGACGGGUGAGUAACACGUGGAUAACCUACCUAUAAGACUGGGAUAACUUCGGGAAACCGGAGCUAAUACCGGAUAAUAUAUUGAACCGCAUGGUUCAAUAGUGAAAGACGGUUUUGCUGUCACUUAUAGAUGGAUCCGCGCCGCAUUAGCUAGUUGGUAAGGUAACGGCUUACCAAGGCAACGAUGCGUAGCCGACCUGAGAGGGUGAUCGGCCACACUGGAACUGAGACACGGUCCAGACUCCUACGGGAGGCAGCAGUAGGGAAUCUUCCGCAAUGGGCGAAAGCCUGACGGAGUAACGCCGCGUGAGUGAUGAAGGUCUUCGGAUCGUAAAACUCUGUUAUUAGGGAAGAACAAAUGUGUAAGUAACUAUGCACGUCUUGACGGUACCUAAUCAGAAAGCCACGGCUAACUACGUG
rnacentral:rRNA from 1 species